rnacentral:rRNA from 1 species
CCCUUAGAUGUUCUGGGCCGCACGCGUGCUACACUGAGUGGAUCAGCGGGUCAGGUUGCGCGAAAGCGUUUCCUAAUCUUGAAAUCCGCUCGUGAUGGGGAUUGACGGUUGCAAUUUUCUGUCAUGAACGAGGAAUACCUUGUAAGCGCGGGUCAUCAUCCCGCGCUGAAUACGUCCCUGCCCUUUGUACACACCGCCCGUCGCUCCUACCGAUUGAGUGGUCCGGUGAGGCUUUGGGAUCUGGGCGGAAAGAGCGUUUCGCUCGUUCUGCCCGGAAAACUCAGUCGAACCUUAUCAUUUAGAGGAAGGAGAAGUCGUAACA